CCUACGGGGUGCAGCAGUGAGGAAUAUUGGUCAAUGGCCGGAAGGCUGAACCAGCCAAGCCGCGUGAAGGAAGAAGGUGCCAAGCAUUAUAAGCUUCUUUUGUCAGGGGACAAAAUCAGGCUCGAGAGCCUGACCGCGGGUACUUGAAGAAAACACAUCGGCUAACUCCGUGCCAGCAGCCGCGGUAAUACGGAGGAUGCGAGCGUUAUCCGGAUUUAUUGGGGUUAAAGGGUGCGUAGGCGGACUGUUAAGUCAGCGGUAAAAGCCCGGGGCUCAACCCCGGAGAGCCGUGGAAACUGGCUGGCUGGAGAGGUGGAGAGGUAUGUGGAAUGCGCAGUGUAGCGGUGAAAUGCGUAGAUAUUGCGCAGAACUCCGAUGGCGAAGGCAGCAUACCGGCGGCGAUCUGACGCUGAGGCACGAAAGCGUGGGUAUCGAACAGGAUUAGAUACCCCGGUAGUC
rnacentral:rRNA from 1 species